GGCAUCGUCUAACGGUUAGGACGUAGGUCUCAUAAUCCUAAAAUCUGAGUUCGAUUCUCAGUGCGAGCA
rnacentral:tRNA from 2 species